rnacentral:rRNA from 1 species
GGUCCCCUACGGGACGCAGCAGUAGGGAAUAUUGCUCAAUGGGGGAAACCCUGAAGCAGCGACGCCGCGUGGAGGAUGAAGGCUUUCGGAUUGUAAACUCCUUUUGUUAGAGAAGAUAAUGACGGUAUCUAACGAAUAAGCACCGGCUAACUCCGUGCCAGCAGCCGCGGUAAUACGGAGGGUGCAAGCGUUACUCGGAAUCACUGGGCGUAAAGAGCGCGUAGGCGGGAUAGCAAGUCAGAUGUGAAAUCCUAUGGCUUAACCAUAGAACUGCAUUUGAAACUGUUAUUCUAGAGUAUGGGAGG